CAUAUACACAAAACCAAUGAGCUAUAUUUAUGAUGGUGUCCACUAUACUCGCGGUUCAUGUAAAUCUGCAAGAAUGUUGCAAAUGUUCCCACCUGCUUGAAGCUUCAGGAUAAAUUGGAUUCAUGAAGUUCCAGCCUCUGGGAUGGAUGUAACCCAGUUUUGAGAUUUCUGCUGAAAAAAUUGAUCAGGAAGCUUAAAUAGCAGAAGAAACAUUAACUAUUGGGCAUAAAUCAACACAGCAGGAACAGACAAAUUAGGAAUUUGGUUACUUCAGCCUGCUCUGCUGUUUAACAAGGCCAUGACUGAUCUUAUUGUAAGUUCAACAAAUUCCUGCCUGCCGCACAACAAUCUUUCCUCUAUUAUCAACACUCUUAUCCACCACUGCUCCUUUGAGGAUACUCAACCCUCAGUGCUGGUUGUAUUGCAUUUAAUCAUCAAUGGAAGACUGCAGUAGAAAGAGAAAAUAUAAAUAGAAAUUCAGUCUUUCCAAACCUGGCAAAAGCAUUGAACUUGAGUGGAUC